UACGUAGGGUGCGAGCGUUGUCCGGAAUUAUUGGGCGUAAAGAGCUCGUAGGCGGUCUGUUGCGUCCGCUGUGAAAACUCGGGGCUUAACCCCGAGCCUGCAGUGGAUACGGGCAGACUAGAGGUAGGUAGGGGAGAAUGGAAUUCCCGGUGUAGCGGUGAAAUGCGCAGAUAUCGGGAGGAACACCGGUGGCGAAGGCGGUUCUCUGGGCCUUAUCUGACGCUGAGGAGCGAAAGCGUGGGGAGCGAACAGG
rnacentral:rRNA from 1 species